GACGAACGCUGGCGGCGUGCUUAACACAUGCAAGUCGAACGGAAAGGCCCUGCUUUUGUGGGGUUCUCGAGUGGCGAACGGGUGAGUAACACGCGAGUAACCUGCCCUUGACUUUGGGAUAACUUCAGGAAACUGCGGCUAAUACCGGAUAGGAGCUCCUGCUGCAUGGUGGGGGUUGGAAAGUUUCGGCGGUUGGGGAUGGACUCGCGGCUUAUCAGCUUGUUGGUGGGGUAGUGGCUUACCAAGGCUUUGACGGGUAGCCGGCCUGAGAGGGGGACCGGCCACAUUGGGACUGAGAUACGGCGCAGACUCCUACGGGAGGCAGAAGGGGGGAAUAUUGCACAAUGGGCGGAAGCCUGAUGCAGCAACGCCGCGUGCGGGAUGACGGCCUUCGGGUUGUAAACCGCUGUCGCCUGUGACGAAGCGUGAGUGACGGUAAUGGGUAAAGAAGCACCGGCUAACUACGUG
rnacentral:rRNA from 1 species